rnacentral:rRNA from 1 species
CCUACGGGUGGCUGCAGUGGGGAAUAUUGGACAAUGGGGGCAACCCUGAUCCAGCAAUACCGCGUGUGUGAAGAAGGCCUGAGGGUUGUAAAGCACUUUCAAUUGUGAAGAAAAGUUAGCGGUUAAUAACCGUUAGCCUUGACGUUAGCUUUAGAAGAAGCACCGGCUAACUCCGUGCCAGCAGCCGCGGUAAUACGGAGGGUGCAAGCGUUAAUCGGAAUUACUGGGCUUAAAGAGUUCGUAGGUGGUUGAAAAAGUUAGUGGUGAAAUCCCAGAGCUUAACUCUGGAACUGCCAUUAAAACUUUUCAGCUAGAGUAUGAUAGAGGAAAGCAGAAUUUCUAGUGUAGAGGUGAAAUUCGUAGAUAUUCUGAGGAAUACCAGUGGCGAAGGCGGCCCCCUGGCUUGAUACUGACGCUGAGGUGCGAAAGCGUGGGGAGCA